ensembl:lncRNA
GACUUGGGCUCGAGUCUCUGCUCUUGAAUAUACGCCACUAUACUGGCUCAGCACCAGACUUUCCAGCAGUGAAAUCUGAUUGCCGGUUUCAAGCCCUCCUUCUGUUCCUCCUAAGCCUUCAGCAGCAAUCUGUAUCCAAGUCUGGAUAUAGAAAUGUCAUGAAGGGAGAGGACAGAGUGAAGCUAUGUGUACACCAGAACAGAUAUGUGUACACUAGUGUUGGGGUGUUUGGGGUGAACCGCCGCCUGAAGAAAAGUUACGUGAAGCAGGGGGACAAUCCAUGAAAUAGCCUGGAGCAGCUGUCCACAGUGACGAGUAACAGCAUUCUCCCUUCCCCAGGAUCUUGAGAAAUUUUUGGAAGGAAAAUACAUUUCCUGCUGUAUAUAGAAGAUGUGAUUUUAAAAUACGAUGAUGCUGACUGUUAUUAAAGGAACUGGUGGGUGGAAACAUCGGGAAUGCUUGGCAUGGACAUGAGGAGAACCCAGGUUGAUAUGACACAGAAUCCACCAAACAGAAUGGAUGCUGAUCAGAGUGAACACUGGCUGUUACUCAGGUGCUGUCAGCUGAGCAAUCUUGACAAUGCUCAAUGGUUUGACUUGAUGGGAUUGGAUCUUUGAAAAGGGAGUGCCACAGUUCAGAAAUUUUGCUCAUAUUUUGAUACGGCCUUUCAAAGCGAUUGUCUCACUAUGGACAGAAAAGAAACUGGGAGUCAAAGCUGAGCGAUGACUUGGACACCUGCCUGGCAUCCUCCUCUCCCCUCCCUGAACCACUGAAUCACACUGAUCCCAUCAAGAGUCCCCAAACACCUGAUUAAAGGUAAAUGAAAAAGACAUCCAUUCAAG